GCCCAAUCGAGGAAAUACUCCCUCCUGAUCCUGUCUUUAGAUGCAGAGAAAGCAUUCGACAGGGUCAGGUGGGACUUCCUCGAUGCGGUCCUACAAAUCUUUGGCUUUUUUGGGAAUAUAAGAAAAGCAAUACUGGCCUUAUAUUCAACUCCUUCUGCAAGAGUUGUGGGAGCGGGAUUCAGCUCAGAUUUUUUCUCGUUGAAAAACGGGACGAGACAGGGCUGCCCGCUCUCACCUCUUCUCUACUUAUUGACAAUAGAAGUUCUAG